rnacentral:rRNA from 1 species
UACGAAGGGGGCUAGCGUUGCUCGGAAUUACUGGGCGUAAAGCGCUCGUAGGCGGUUUGUUAAGUCGGGGGUGAAAUCCUGGAGCUCAACUCCAGAACUGUCUUCGAUACUGGCGAUCUCGAGUUCGGGAGAGGUGAGUGGAACUGCGAGUGUAGAGGUGAAAUUCGUAGAUAUUCGCAAGAACCCCAGUGGCGAAGGCGGCUCACUGGCCCGGUACUGACGCUGAGGUGCGAAAGCGUGGGGAGCAAACAGG